GAUGAAGAACGCAGCUAAAUGCGAUAAGUAGUGUGAAUUGCAGAAUUCAGUGAAUCAUCGAAUCUUUGAACGCACAUUGCGCCCCUUGGUAUCCCGAGGGGCAUGCCUGUUCGAGCGUCAUUUCACCACUCAAGCCUGGCUUGGUGUUGGGCGACGUCCUCUUUGGGGACGCGCCUCGAAACGCUCGGCGGCGUGGCACCGGCUUUAAGCGUAGCAGAAUCUUUCGCUUUGGAAGUCGGGGCCCCGUCUGCCGGAAGACCUGCUCGCAAGGUUGACCUCGGAUCAGGCAGGGAUACCCGCUGAACUUAAGCAUAUCAAUAAGCGGAGGA
rnacentral:misc_RNA from 1 species